UACGAGGGGGGCAAGCGUUGUUCGGAAUUAUUGGGCGUAAAGGGUGCGUAGGCGGUUUUGUAAGUCUUGUGUGAAAUCUUCAGGCUCAACUUGAAGACUGCACGAGAAACUGCAGGGCUUGAGUGUGGGAGAGGUGAGUGGAAUUCCUGGUGUAGCGGUGAAAUGCAUAGAUAUCGUGAGGAACACCAGAGGCGAAGGCGGUUACCUGGACAGUUACUGACGCUCAGGCACGAAAGCAUGGGGAGCAAAAGGG
rnacentral:rRNA from 1 species